rnacentral:rRNA from 1 species
GUCCGAGCCGUAAACGAUGAGCACUAGGUGUUGGGGUUUACCUUCAGCGCCGUAAGUUAACACGUUAAGUGCUCCACCUGGGGACUACGGCCGCAAGGCUAAAACUCAAAGGAAUUGACGGGGCCCGCACAAGCGGUGGAACAUGUGGUUCAAUUCGACGCUACGCGAAGAACCUCACCAGGGCUUGACAUGCAGGAAGUAGUGAACCGAAGGGGAACAAACUGUCAAGUCAGUAGCCUGCACAGGUGUUGCAUGGCUGUCGU